rnacentral:rRNA from 1 species
CCCUGGCCGGGCCGGGUCGGGCCGGGCUGCCCAUGGCAGGACUACCCGCAGCCCUAUCGCUGCUCCUCUCCUGGUGCGCCGCUCGACCUCCUCCUUCCUCCCACUCAGGUGCGCCGCCGGCCCUCUUCCUCCCUCCCUCCCUGCUGCGCCGCCGGCCCUCUCCCUAGCUUCAGCUCGUGCGCGCCGCGGGUCCUCUCCCUCGCUCCACAUCUUGCGCCGCCGGACCUCUUCCUCGAUCCAUCUCCUGCGCCGCCGGUUUCCUUUCUUGCUGCCUCUCCUGCGCUGCCGGCGUGUCGGACGUUCAAAAAUCUCGUCCCCCCUUUGGGUUAGCGUAGACAGGCAAGGGGGCGGCAUUACCACCGGUGGAGAUUGCACACUAGGACCGACCCCAGGCUUUAUGGACUAGCCAAGAACCCUAAACAAAAAAAUCCCCAUCUUCUUCCCCUCCAAAUCUCCCAAUCCCCUGCUCAUUCGAGAAAAUCUACCCGAGAUUCCGCACGAGCACCGCCGGUUCCCUCUAAGAAGGGGAGGGAUCCGACCCAUCUCCGCGCCGGCAAAUCGGGGAAGAUGAAUCCCCUGACGCAGGUGAAGCGGACGCAGGUGAUAAACCAGAAGGAGGCGGCGCUGGGCCUCAGCGAGGACGCAUCCUGGCACGCCAAGUUCAGGGGCUCCGCCUACGUCUUCGUCGGAGGCGUCCCCUUCGACCUCACCGAAGGCGACCUCCUCGCCGUCUUCGCGCAGUACGGCGAGGUGGUCGAUGUGAACCUCGUGCGCGACAAGGCCACCGGCAAGUCCAAGGGCUUCGCAUUCGUCGCCUAUGAGGACCAGAGGAGCACGGUUCUUUCCGUCGAUAACUUGAAUGGGGCUAAGGUUCUUGGGAGGAUCAUCAGGGUUGACCAUGUGGAGAAGUACAAGAAGAAGGAGGAGGAGGACGAUGAGGAGCUGCAGAAGAAGAGAGAGGAGCGCGGCGUGUGCUAUGCUUUCCAGAAAGGCGAGUGCAACCGCGGCGAUGCGUGCAAAUAUUCCCAUGAUGAACAGAGAAAUGCAAACACUGGUUGGGGUUCUAAGGAGGAUGACCCAAAAUGGGAGCAUGACAGACACCGUGGUCCACAAAAUAAGGGGGAAUCCCGUGGUGUCUGCUAUGCUUUCCAGAAAGGCGAAUGCAGUCGGGGAGAUACCUGCAGGUUUUCGCAUGAUGAGCAGGUAGCUGUCCAGGGACGUGGCGUCUGCUAUGCUUUCCAGAAAGGCGAGUGCAGUCGCGUAGCUUCCUGCAGAUUUUCACAUGAUGAGCAGAGAAAUGCAAACACUGAUCGAGGUUCUAGGGAGGACAGCAAUGCAAGGCGGCAGCAUGACCAUGAUCCACCAAAGAGCCACAAAAAUUUCCCUGACAGGACUAAAGAAGAGGCGAGAUCAGGGGAUAGGGAUGGUCAAUCCUCAAGAUCAGAGUUGUACAGGGACCGAGAUUCUAGGACAAGAUAUGGCGAUAGAGACACAAAAGAUAGGGACAGGAACAUGCAGGAGAAAUCCCCUGAGAGAUCCAGAGGCGACAGGCAGAGAGGCGAUGACAGGGGAAGAGAAGAUAGAUCAGACACAAAAGAUAGGGACAGGAACGGGCACGAGAAAUCCCCUGAGAGAUCAAGAGGCGACAGGCAGAGAGGUGAUGACAGGGGGAGAGAAGAUAGAUCAGACGUAAAAGAUAGAGACAGGAACGGGUACGAGAAAUCCCCCGAGAGACCAAGAGGCGAUAGGCAGAGGGGCGAUGACAGGCGAAGAGAAGAUAGAUCAGAGAGCAAGCGGUCUAGGCACGACAGAGAUUCUGGUGUCCGUUACGAGAGAAGAGGCGACGAAGAGGAAGAACGGUACAGGAAAUCGCGGAGAUAAAACUUGGGUUUUCAGGGCACGCGCUGCCGUUGCUAUUCUAAUCUGGUUGAUGUUUGUACUUGUACAAGGUGAACGAUUAUGUUCAGUCCUUUGGUGUUUGCUUGUUCUUUUCAUUUACGAGGUUUCUGAACAUACUAGCCAAUGGAUGAUUUUGCAGGGUUUCAACUCAAUCCAUUGGUUUCCACAGCAGUGUUCAUUAUUGUUAUAACACUUAUCUGGUGAAUCUUGUACCACUAUGGAAAGUUUUAUCAGUAAGUGAUGAGCUGGAGAUGAGAUGAACAGAACUUUUCGACAAAGGAGAUGAACAGAACUACACAACCUAAAUAACAAAGAACCCACAGCAAACACGCACGCUCUGAAGGUCUCUGCCACGGGCUCCAAAAAAUAAAAAUGAAAGCAAACAUGCCCUACAGGCCUACACAUCGGAGAAAUCCAGGAACGUUGACUCGGCGAGAUCGAUGGCGUGAGCGAGGCCAGCGGCCUUGUUCUGGCACUCCUGCUGCUCGUCUUCCGGCUUGCUGUCGGCAACGAUCCCGGCGCCGGUCUGGAGGUGCGCCACCCACUCCUGGCGCGUUGCUGCUAUCAGAGGCGUACGAGUACAUGGUGUCGAACCGGGAUGCUGUCGGGAAGACGAUGGUGCGCAGCGCGAAGGGGAUCUGGCCGAAGCCACCGCUGCAUGGUCCGCGCAUCUUCACCUCCAUCUCGUCGGUCAGCUCCAUCGCUCUCACCUGCCGAGUUUCAGAAGGGAGCAUGUGGGAAACUUAUGAACAAACUCAGGGAGCAGCAUGGAUGAAUGGAAUCUGAGCAACCGUUUGCUGCAACUCGAGAAACAUGGUGGAUCUGGCGCCUAUUUAUACCCCAUCUGGCGUCGCGAUUGCUCUCCAAAACAAUUACUUAUUUUGAUUCCAAUGCAUUUAGGUAGGUGAUCAUGUGAUCGCCAUCAUUUCUAACCUUUUCUUAAUUGCCAUAGAAAAAAACAGAGCUAACAAGAUAGCAGCAAGUAUGUAUAAUGUACUACUUACCUUGGGAGCACAACUGACGGUUCCAACAGGCAAUGCAGCCCGCGGGGCAUCCCAACAUGUAAGAUUGUCACGCAGCUCCCCAGUAACCUACAAAAGUAGACCCGCACAUUAUGAGAAUUGUUAA